CCUCACCUGACCCCAGGCUUUCAUCACCAGGCCCUAAUGGCAGUCCUGUCUGUUGGUGAGUCCUUUGAGUGUGGAGAGGAGGACGGCGAUUCAGAACUGAGGCUUCCCAUCCACACAGCCCAGGAGUGGUGGCCAGGGAAAAUGGUCUUAGGGACCCCAUCUGACACCCUGGAAGGAUGGGCUGCGAAGCCAGUUGGAGUCCGCGAUUCCAAGGGCUUGUCUGACCUGGACGGAGGCAAAGCUGUGUGCAGGGCGGUUCCUCUUCCUGACAGGCUGGGGGACUGUUGAUGUCCCCACCUGCCUUUUUCUGGCCAUACUAUCCUGAUGCUGCCUGUGGGAAGGUCCUGGGGGUUGCUAGCUAGGUGUCCUUGCAGGCCAAUGUCUAGGGGAGAACUGAGAUUGGUGGCAUAGGAGUGGCUUAGCAGGACUGAGAGGAUGAGAGAAGCUUUGUCCAGCCUGGGGACCACGCCCAAGUGCACAUUUGGUCAGCGGGCAAAGAAGGCAGUGCACGGAGCUCCUAAGAGGGUGGGAGCCUCAGCCUCCCAGGUCUCCUGUGUAUCCUGCAGAGUGGCCGGAGGGUGACCACCAGGAGGCACAGGCAGCAUGAGUGCCAGAGCACUGAUGUAGGGGUGAGAAGUGAACGGUGUGGGAUGGCGUGGAGCGCCUCCAGGGUGCUCUGCCUCCCACCGUGUGCUCUGCACCCUGUUCUUCCCCUGCGGUAGCAGCUCCUCCCGUCCUUCAGGACACUCAGCAGCUGGGGCUGGGUUUCCACUCUACAGCAGCACUUGCCUAACAUGUGCAGGGGCCUGGACCCAGUCCCAGCACCAAAGGGGAAAGACUACCCAGCGGUGGGUUCUGGUUCCUGUCUUCUGCUUCUGCCUGGCCCUGCUCUCAGGCUGCCCUCCCCUGGUGGAGCCCCCAGACCCUGCUCCCCAGAAGGGCAGCCUCUGAUGGCUUCUGGCCCUUCCUAUGAGUGUUCCUAUGCUCUUCUCCAUUUGAAGAGAGACUGAAGCAGGAGCCGGGCCUCUCCUUGGAGACAGUGCAUGCCUACCUACCUCUGCAAAGUGUGGCACCGGGCCACCUGGGAAGGGAAGCCCUGCACCAUGGCCCGCCCCAGCCUUGUCCCUUGUCUUGUACCUCACAGUCCAGGUGCCAGGUGAAGAGAGGACCGCAGGGCCUUGAGACCUGUGGAGGAGCAGUGGACAGACGAGAACUCAAGGCUGAGCCAGGGCACUGGGUGUGUGCAGCCUGUGUCCAGCAUGCCCCUCGGGAGGCCAGUCUCUGCCUGGGUCACGGUCUGGGAGGAAGUGUAGCAGCCCGGGGCCCAGCCUUGCCAUUUGUUGUUAUAGCAGCAGGGUUUGUCUGAGGCAGGGUGUGUGCUGUGCUAUGAGGGUGUGGGGUGCCAGGCACACGUGGCCAGGCCCCUGGGGAUGGAUGUGGCUCAGCAAUGACCAGCCUUGUGCCUGGAUGGCAGCUCACCAGAAGGCUGACUUUCCUGAUCUGUAAAACAUGGGCCACAGCGGCACUGAUUCCCCUAGGGCUGUGUGAGGACUUGGCAGAUGGUGUCUGUCGCCGUGCUCUCUGUCUUCAUCUUGUCUGGGGAAACACGUAGGACAAGGAGGGUCACAGACCCUGCCGCAGCAGGGGGUGGGGGACUGGGAGCCAUGAGGCCAGGAUGUGUGCCAGCUCCAGGGGCCACUGAAGGCCUCCUGGACAAGAGGACCUGGGUCUUGAGAGAUGAACACAAGUCUUAGGAGUGAAGCUGACAGCUCCUGGAUGGAAGCAGUAGCUGACAGAAGCACAGGCUGCACGGCCCUGUGCACACAGGCCUCCAGCUCCCCCACCACCCUGGAAGAGGGUCUGCUAUUAUUUCCGAGUUCAGAGGAGGGUCAAAGACACAGACACCCUAUAAUUUGUCCAGUCACAGAGCUAGAGAGGGAUGGAACCAGGCCUGGAAGCCGGGAGCCUGGCCCAGAGCCUGUGCACAUGGAGAGGGAGCAUCUCUAGUGGGUGAGCAGUGGUGGAGCUGUGAGGAAAAUGGGCUGGACCUCGGACAGGUCCCACCAGGGCAUCUGGUUGGCUCCUCGGGUCUGUGCUUCCCAGGUUUCAUGGGCUGCCAGGUUGAAAAGUGUUUGGGAGGCUGACAUAGAACUGCUAACUUUAAAAUCUGCCAAGUAAGGAUUUUAUUUUUUCUUUUAAACCAAAACUCUGCAAGUGGUCUUGCUGGCCACUUCUGAGUUUCUUGCCAUGUAACCUUGGUUAAGAGACUGGGUACCUCUGAGUCUCUGAGAAAACUGGGACCCCCAGCCUCACUGGCCUGGGAAGCCCUCUCAGCACCCAUCUCUCAGAGGUCUUGGAUAACACUGGAUGUGUCUGGACCUCCUCCCGGCCUCAGACAAAACAGGGCUAGUGCUCACUGCCAGAGAAGCCACACAGGCCUAGGCCAGCUCUGCUGCUGUCGCCUAACAGGGGGUGGGACUUAGCAGUUUUGCCCUUCAGAUGCCCUAGUAAAGAGGUCUGCCAGGGCUCUCCAUCCAACAUGGUCCUUUCCUUCCAAGAGCAGGAGCACGGACUCUGUAUUAGUUAGACAUGACCAGUAGUUCUGUCUGUCCUAGAGGCCAGUGUAGGCCCUGGGGGCUUCUGGCCUCAGGGCCGUAGGAAGAGAACAAGCCCUCAUCUUGGUGGCAUUGACCGUGGGUUCCUGUGCCACUGUGGAGUCUGCAGCCUCCACACUUGAGUGGGGCCUCCAGCAGCCUGGGCCACCCAGAAUGGUAAAUACUCCAGUAGCAGAUAGUCACAGUUUGGUGUUUCGUCUUGUCCUAAAUGCUUCCUGAAACAAAAUGAACAUAUUUGAUGCCACUAAUGAUGUUUUUAAAAAGAAGGAAUCACAUAAUUCAUUCUAAGACCACCAUCUAUCUGUUGCUGCAAUCCUGUUUUCUGUAUGCUUCUGAGGAGACCUCACAGUGGGUCUCAGGACUGCCUUCCUCAUUCCUGCUUUGCUGAGACAAGCUCAUGACCCUUGCAGGUCUCCUGGGAAGUGGCCCAGACCUGUGCUCUAGGGCUUGUCCCAGAGAAGCCUGGGAUGGAGAGGCCCAGGCCAGCUUAUAAGCAUUGCCAGCUUGAAUGCACUGGUUGGUUCCUGAGUUCCAACAGAGUCUUCAGGGGUGGAGACAGGCCACCCGAGGUGGAGUGCUGAUGGAGCUGUGUGGCCAAGGUGGGGUAGAGCAGAUUGUCCACUCCUGGGCAGCUGCGGGCUGCCAUGGCACUAAGGCAGAGCUGGGCAGUGGCGACAAGAGCCGGUGGCUGGGUGACUGAGUGUGUAUUUUGGGCAGUUACUUUCUGAAGUGGCUUUAGUGGUUGACAUUAAGGAAGAGGCCUCUUGGCAGAAGGAAAAGAUUGAAGGAGUUCUANNNNNNNNNNNNNNNNNNNNNNNNNNNNNNNNNNNNNNNNNNNNNNNNNNNNNNNNNNNNNNNNNNNNNNNNNNNNNNNNNNNNNNNNNNNNNNNNNNNNNNNNNNNNNNNNNNNNNNNNNNNNNNNNNNNNNNNNNNNNNNNNNNNNNNNNNNNNNNNNNNNNNNNNNNNNNNNNNNNNNNNNNNNNNNNNNNNNUCAGGGGUGGAGACAGGCCACCCGAGGUGGAGUGCUGAUGGAGCUGUGUGGCCAAGGUGGGGUAGAGCAGAUUGUCCACUCCUGGGCAGCUGCGGGCUGCCAUGGCACUAAGGCAGAGCUGGGCAGUGGCGACAAGAGCCGGUGGCUGGGUGACUGAGUGUGUAUUUUGGGCAGUUACUUUCUGAAGUGGCUUUAGUGGUUGACAUUAAGGAAGAGGCCUCUUGGCAGAAGGAAAAGAUUGAAGGAGUUCUACGGUUUCCUCCCAUUAAUCACCCUGGCGCUGUGGCUCCCUGCUGCAGGGGUGUGCACUCCUGGCCUGCGGUAGUGCCUACUGGCUUCUUGGGCAGGGAAGCUGUUGUGAACCAAGGCCCUCUCCCUCCAAAGGCCAGCGGGUAUAAAUCUGCCCAAGGUCACAGGAGAUUUUGUGGUGGCAUGGUGGAGACCAGAACCCUCCAUCUAAGAGCCACACUCUGAUCCCCUGGUUUCUAAAGUGGGACUGGCCCACCUGUAGUAGCUGUCCCACUCUCCUGCAAACCCUGCACCCUUGGAGAUCAAGUAUCCCAGACGCAGGUAGGCAGGAAAUGAAUGCCUAAACCCCUCACAGAGACCGGAAAACAGAUACACCCAUGGAGACAAGGCCAGACCAUGACUCAGGCCCAAUUGUAGGACACUCUGUUCUCCCAUGUACCUAGCCACCCAAGAAGGAAAGGGCCAGACACUGCCAUUAGAACUUGCCCAGCCUUGAGCUCUGAAAGAGCUAGCUUGUCCCUUUCCUCAGAGUGACAGCUGGUGCAGGGUUUGCAGGAGAGUGGGACAGCUGGUACAGAUGGGCCAGUCCCACUUAAGAAACAAGGGGAGCAGAUGUGGCUCUUAGAUGGAGGGUUCUGGUCUCCACCAUGCCACCAGAAACUCCUGUGACCUUGGGCAGAUUUAUACCUCUCUGGUCUUCACUCUCAGUACAAAAUCUGUCCAGGUUCCUUCUAAUGUGGACCUGGAGAGAACGCAGGACUAACUGUCUUCGAGUGGGUGGGAAGUAUUCCAGGUGAGCCUUUGUGAACAGGUUGACGGGACUUGGGUGAAAACAUUGUGACAGGCUGGCUUUGCAGUAACCUCUGGCCUUUGUUGUCUUAGGAAGACAUGGCUGCUCACGUGGGUGCUUCCCGGACUCCCCAGGAAGUGAUGGAGCACUAUGUGAGCAUGUACAUCCACGGGAACCUGGGGAAGGCCUGCAUCCCCGACAGCAUCCCCAACCGGGUGACAGAUCACACCUGCCCCAGCGGAGGCCCCCUCUCGCCCAGCCUCACCACCCCGUUGCCUCCGUUGGACAUCUCAGUGGCCGAGCAGCAGCAGCUAGGCUACAUGCCACUGCGGGACGACUAUGAGAUCGAGUACGACCAGGACGCCGAGACACUCAUCAGCGGGCUGUCCGUGAACUAUGACGACGACGAUGUGGAGAUCGAGCUCAAGCGCGCCCACGUGGACAUGUAUGUGCGGAAGCUCAAGGAACGGCAGCGCCGGAAGAACAUCGCCCGUGACUACAACCUGGUGCCUGCCUUCCUGGGGAAGGACAAGAGGGAGAAGGAGAAGGCGCUGAAGCGGAAGAUCACCAAGGAGGAGAAGGAGCUGCGGCUGAAGCUGCGGCCGCUGUACCAGUUCAUGUCGUGUAAGGAGUUUGACGACUUAUUUGAAAAUAUGCACAAGGAGAAGAUGCUGCGAGCCAAGAUCAGAGAGCUGCAGCGGUACAGGCGAAACGGAAUCACCAAGAUGGAAGAGUCGGCUGAGUACGAAGCCGCCAGGCACAAGCGGGAGCGAAGGAAAGAGAACAAGAACAUGGCUGGCUCCAAAAGGGGCAAGGAGGAGGGCAGGGAUGGCGAGUUUGCAGCCAUCGAGAACCUUCCUGGGUUUGAGCUCUUGUCAGACCGUGAGAAGGUGCUCUGUAGCUCUUUGAACUUGAGUCCAGCGCGCUAUGUGACGGUGAAGACCAUUAUAAUCAAAGACCACCUCCAGAAGCGGCAGGGAAUCCCCUCCAAAAGUCGCCUUCCCAGUUAUCUGGACAAAGUCCUAAAGAAAAGGAUUUUAAACUUCCUCACAGAAAGCGGGUGGAUAUCCAGGGAUGCCUCCUGAACAAGGGUGUCCUGGAGCGUCCCCAGACACUUCCAAGGCUGGAGCAAUGCUCAAGUAGCUUGUGAGCCAAAUGGCAUGGGGGGAGGGGAGAGGAACCGCCUUUUCCCCUGUUGCUCUUUUUAAACAAAUUGAGUUCCUUUUUUUAAGAUGUAAAAAUCUUUUCAAUGGUCCUCUGAAAGAAGCAAUAGUAACAAUCUUAUAUUGGAUCAUGGGGGAGACAAAUGUUUCUAUUUUAACUUGGUCCUAAAAGUAACCCUUGAAGAUGAUGAUUUGCCUUUGCGUGUUCCGUUUGGAGACUGUUAAGAGAUUGGAUGAUUUCCUUUUCUUUCCUGAGCCGCCUUCCCUUCGGGUGCAAAGCUGUGGGUGCAGGGAGUGACAUUUUCCUGCUGGGCCGCCAGCCACCCAUCAGCUUUCCCUGGUGACACACGCUCUUCUCAGGCAGGGCUGCUAUAGGCGCCCCUUUUCUGAGCCCACUGAUGCCCCCCCCACGACACCCCACAUGGCCCGGGGCACGAGGCACUUUAUAGAGGGGCCCAUGGGACACAGACCUGCCCCUGUGUAACAGAUGAAGAUGAGGCCAGAGAGCACCAGGAGGUUUCCUUACACACUUGAGGAAGAAGCCUUGUUUACACAGUUGAUCACGUGAGCUUCCACUUAGCUGUCAGCAGCGGCCAAGUGUGAGUUUGCAGCUCCCAAAUCCCAAAUCCUGCCUCUUUUUAGUCUGAGCCCAGCCUGCUGCCCACUUGGGGAUACCCCCUGGGUACAUCCUUGUUUUGUCCCAAGGAUGGGAACCCUGGAGUGGGAGGGUCACAGGACUAGUGGGAACUGCCUGGCUUCCGGGGGUGCCCCUUGCUGCUGUGACUACCUGUAGUGCAUUUGACUUGGAAGACCCCAUUUUAAAGAGUUCCAGGCCAAGUGCUCAGGGUUCUGAGUUCUGGCAUUAGCUUCCUCAGGAUUCUUCUCAGUUACAAGUCCCCUUCUCACAGAAAACAAUGACCAUGCUAGCCCAGCUAGGCGAAUUAUUUAGUGCAUGGCCAGGCCUGCUCCCGUUGGCUGGGCAGAGCCAUAGUUCCAGCCCACACAGGCCCUGGUAAGUGUGGCGGUUCCCGGCUGUGUCUUGGGGCUACUGUGCUGCUUCCUGCUCGCCCUCUUGCUUCUGACUCAAAAAUGGCUCCUUCCCAGCCCAACCGAAAAGCUCGUUUCUGGGGCCUUCUUCAAGGACAUACACGGUACCUUCCUUUUAAACUUGAGGAAGUCGCUUGUCUUCCGGCUGCUCAGGGUUCUCGUGCCCAGACCCUGCUUUAGAGUCCCUGGAUGACCAUAGACCCCAUUCUCCCUGAACUCAUCCUGCCCCUGUGCCCCCAUAGGUACAAGAGCCUGUUUACCUCCUAGAAUAUUUGAGCUUGAAGUACAUUAAAGUGAAGUUAUUCAAAGGAAAAAAAAAAACCCUCCUCAUUUCCAAGGACGACUUGAUUAUGUGCCUUUUCCUUUCUUUUUACAUCCUCUGUCCCUUAGGGUGAGUUUUUCAGCAUUAAACAAAACAUUCAAGUACACUGUUUAGUUGCAAAGUGUGUUGCGGGCUGGCAGAGGAGUACCUGCUCGCUAGACCAGGGCUUCUCAGCAGAUGCUGAGCAGUGACACUGCUCCAGAGUGCUGGCUGCGUGCUGCGCCAGGGACAGUGACAAGGAUGGUGCUGAGUUCUUAUAUCAUCACAGCCAGUGGUUCUCAGAGUGUGGAUCUUGGGUACCUGUUUACAAAUGCAGAAUAUGGACCCCACCCGGUCCUCUUGAAUUGGAAAUUCCAUGGUGGAGACUAGCAAGCUGUCUUUCAAACCCUCUAGGUGACUGGGAGGGAGCUCAGUUUUGACAGCCACUGGCUUUAGCUGUCCUGGUGUCUCAUUUGUUGAUUUUCUACACCACCCGAAUACUAGUUUGGUGAGGUUGAGUCUAGUCUUAUUUUUUUAUAUAAAAUGAUAGGCCUACAUUAAGCUUGAGAAGCAGAGGAUCCUGAAAAUGUGUGGCCCAGGCCAAGAGUUGUCCAGUGAAAACCUUUGUGCUUAAGCAGUUUUGUAGUGUGUGUGUGUGUGUAUAUAUAUAUAUAUAUAUAUGUGUGUGUGUGUGUGUGUGUGUGUGUAUAUAUCUUUUUGAUGGUAUGAAGAAUUUAUUUAGGCUUGACUGUUUUAAGACACCAUAAUGAAUGUAUAAUUAAUUUAUGUCAAAGUAUUAAUAUGUUGUUACAACAGGAAAGUAAUUUUAGGAUUGGUUGCCUCUUAUCCCAUCUGCUCCAGCUUUCUGUUAUAUUAGUUCUUACCUCUGCAUUAGUUUGGAGUGUUUAUAUUCAAUUCUCACAAUAAAUUAGCUACCAUAAUCCUGUGAACUAAAUCUUUUCAAAUUUUACACAAACUGUCUUUACAAAGUCCAAAAAGAUAGAUAGGUAAUUUUUCAGGCAUUUGAAAUAAUGCUCUCUGGGAGGCCAACAUUCCAAGAAUGUAUUAAAAACUACAACUCUGGCUACCAUUUUUAUUAUUCUUUUACAUAUUAAACAAGUUGAGAACAGAACAGUGCCUUUGCUUGCUUCUUACCAUUUCUCGAGCCUCUGUGCCUGCUUCCUUGCAGAGCCUUAAAUGCAGCAGUGAGCCAACACUGA
rnacentral:lncRNA from 1 species